rnacentral:lncRNA from 13 species
AAGUAGAUAUAAUAAACAUUACCAAAGCCAGAAAAGACAGUGCGGGAGAGGUAAUACAGAGGUAAUGGGUACAAAAUAGUUAGAAUAAAUAAGAUCUAGUGUUUAGUAGCACAAUAGGGUGACUCUAAUCAACAGUAAUAUAUUGUAUAUUACAAAAUAACUUGAGGAGUGGAUUUGGAAUGUUCCCAGAACAAGGAAAUAGUAAAUGUUUGAGGUGGUAGAUAUCCCAUUGCCUGUUUUAAUCAUUACACGUUGUCCGGUUGUAUUAAAUAUAAUAUGUUCACUAUAAAAUGUACUGUUAUGUAUCCAUAAAAAUUAAGAACAAAAGAGUAUUAUCUUGUAGUUCUGUGCGUUAAAAGUUUGAUGUGGAUAUUAGGGCUAAUGUCCAGCUGUGAGCAAGACUGUAUUUCUUUCUGAAGGGUCUCAUGCCCUCCCCCAUAAAAUAAAGGAUUUCCUUGUCUUUUUUUGUUUCUAGAAGCCACCCACAGUCCUUGGGUCAUUGCCUCCUUUCUUCAUCUUCAAAGCCAGCAACGUUACAUCUCUUUGACCAUUAUUCCAUACCUGCAUCUCCCUGUGACUGUUCUUAUCGGCUGCCGUCUUGCACUUUCAAGGUUAUUUAUAACUACAUUGGUCUCACCUGGAUAAUGCAGCAUGAAAAUAAAUCUUUAUCUUCAGUUAUUACCCACCAGUAAGAGAAAGACAGCGUAUCUAGACCUGCCCCAAAACAUGGGAAACUCACUGCUUUGAAGGGAAGGACACAAACCUGGCUGCU